AUGGUCCUGAUUUUCCUGGCAACCCUGGUGGAACUGGCAGACUUGGGCCAUGCCCAAAAGGACUCCGUGCUCCAGUUCCCAGCAGAAACAACCAUCCACAUGGGACACAAUGCAACUCUGUACUGCAAUUUCUCCACCAGCGAUCCCAAUCCCUACAUCUUCUGGUACCAGCAGCACCAGACCCAGUCCCCUCAGAUGCUGCUGUGGGUGAGCAAGUACAAAACUCACGUGGAUUCAGGGAGGUUCUCUUCUGCGCUGUCUUUGGAGACCUCCAAAGUGCUUCUGCACGUACAGGAUGCUGAGCUCCAGGACAAUGCUGCCUAUUUCUGUGCCCUUAGCCCACAUUGGUAA